rnacentral:rRNA from 1 species
AUUGAACGCUGGCGGCAUGCUUUACACAUGCAAGUCGAACGGCAGCGCGGGCUUCGGCCUGGCGGCGAGUGGCGAACGGGUGAGUAAUGCAUCGGAACGUGCCCAGUAGUGGGGGAUAGCCCGGCGAAAGCCGGAUUAAUACCGCAUACGACCUGAGGGUGAAAGCGGGGGACCGAAAGGCCUCGCGCUAUUGGAGCGGCCGAUGUCGGAUUAGCUAGUUGGUGGGGUAAAGGCUUACCAAGGCGACGAUCCGUAGCUGGUCUGAGAGGACGACCGGCCACACUGGGACUGAGACACGGCCCAGACUCCUACGGGAGGCAGCAGUGGGGAAUUUUGGACAAUGGGGGCAACACUGAUCCAGCCAUGCCGCGUGCGGGAAGAAGGCCUUCGGGUUGUAAACCGCUUUUGUUCGGGAAGAAAUCCUCUGGGCUAAUACCCCGGGGGGAUGACGGUACCGGAAGAAUAAGCACCGGCUAACUACGUG